rnacentral:rRNA from 1 species
UAGGGAAUCUUCCGCAAUGGGCGAAAGCCUGACGGAGCAACGCCGCGUGAGUGAUGAAGGUCUUCGGAUCGUAAAACUCUGUUAUUAGGGAAGAACAAAUGUGUAAGUAACUAUGCACGUCUUGACGGUACCUAAUCAGAAAGCCACGGCUAACUACGUGCCAGCAGCCGCUGUAAUACGUAGGUGGCAAGCGUUAUCCGGAAUUAUUGGGCGUAAAGCGCGCGUAGGCGGUUUUUUAAGUCUGAUGUGAAAGCCCACGGCUCAACCGUGGAGGGUCAUUGGAAACUGGAAAACUUGAGUGCAGAAGAGGAAAGUGGAAGUCCAUGUGUAGCGGUGAAAUGCGCAGAGAUAUGGAGGGACACCAGUGGCGAAGGCGACUUUCUGGUCUGUAACUGACGCUGAUGUGCGAAAGCGUGGGGAUCGAACAGG